CCACCAUCACCACACCCAUAGCUCAAAUUCACCCACAUUGGUAAAAAUACUCAGUGAAGCAUAUAGUAUUAAUGGGUUUUCAAAAUCUGGAUAUUGAGUUGAAUAUUUUAGUCUAGCUGCUCCAGGAAAGAAAGAGAGAGAAUUUGCUUCUUUCUAGCUUGGUUUCUUGAGUCAAAUAGAAACAUGAGGUUAUAGAGCAUCAUAAAGAUUCGUUUUUUUUUUUUUCCCUUCUCGAGUGUUCUUUGGUUUUAGGGUAAUUUGUGUAUUGUUGUUAUAGAUUACAAAAGCUUGUUAAUGACUGAAAAAGAUUAAUGGGUAAGAAGAGGCCUUGAAAGACAAAGGAACUAUCUAUAGCAAUAGCAAAAGCUUCUUCCGCAGGAGAUGCAACCCUGCAAUAACAGCAGCCUCAGAUUUCGUGAAAGAGGUAGACCAUGAAAACUUGUACGACGAAUCCUUGGCUCCGGCACUUCCAUUGGUACCCUCCCGUGAAAUGAUGAUGCCUUCUCUGUUAGCUUGUUCUUCCUUUCUUCUCCGGAUUUGAGUUUUUUUUUUUUUUUUUUCAGAAAGAGAAUUUUUUGUUUCCUGCCCUGCUUUCCUUUUGGGGAAGUUCGGCUAUAGCAUGUCGAAGUUAGUAGGCUGUGAUAAACAUAAGCAAGGAAAGCCCGG
rnacentral:misc_RNA from 1 species